UAAUGACAUAGAUGCUGCAGUAGAAAGUUUCAAGAAAGCUUUGGAGCUUGAGCCAAAUGAUGGAGGUAUCAAAAACCAGCUUGCUGCUGCUAAAAAGAAGAUUGCUGAUAGACGUGACAAGGAGAGAAAAGCAUUUUCCAGGAUGUUCCAAAAUUAGUUUUGGUUCUCAUUUGGCACCAGUGCUGGCAAUUAAUACUCUUUAUCAAUUGCCAUCAUUCAUGGAGUUCCUUCUGCUUUCAGAAACAGGAUAGUUUAUUGCCUUGUUUCGAGACAUCGAUCCUGAUCUAUGAACUAAAUUAAACUUUAAAUGAACUGCUCAGGCUAUUCUUGGUUAUAACUUGUAUGCACCAAAUAGCAGAAGGAAUUUUAGGUGUCUAUGCACCCUUGUUGUUAUUAAUCAGCUAUUAAUAAGCUGCAUGGAUGAAAAAAAAAUUAAUCAUGGGAAAUCGUUAUCCAAUGUUCUUUUAUAAUUGUGCUGACUUGCAAGGUGACUUCCUUGCAAUCUCUGUAGCCUAAUAUUUCCACAUUGAGAUGGAAGUAACUUGUAUGUAUUAUGUAACUCAACUGUAAUGGUAAG
rnacentral:misc_RNA from 1 species